rnacentral:rRNA from 1 species
CCCUUAGAUGUCCUGGGCCGCACACGCGCUACACUGAUGCAUUCAACGAGUUUUACCUUGGCCGAGAGGCCUGGGCAAUCUUUUAAACCUGCAUCGUGAUAGGGAUAGAUUAUUGCAAUUAUUAAUCUUGAACGAGGAAUUCCUAGUAAACGCAAAUCAUCAAUUUGCAUUGAUUACGUCCCUGCCCUUUGUACACACCGCCCGUCGCACCUACCGAUUGAAUGGUCCGGUGAAGCCUCGGGAUUGUGGCCAGUUCACUUUAUUGGGAGUUGGCUGUGAGAACUUGUCUAAACCUUAUCAUUUAGAGGAAGGUGAAGUCGUAACA